rnacentral:rRNA from 1 species
GACGAACGCUGGCGGCGUGCUUAACACAUGCAAGUCGAACGGUAAGGCCCUUCGGGGUACACGAGUGGCGAACGGGUGAGUAACACGUGGGUGAUCUGCCCUGCACUUUGGGAUAAGCCUGGGAAACUGGGUCUAAUACCGAAUACACCCUGCUGGUCGCAUGGCCUGGUGGGGGAAAGCUUUUGCGGUGUGGGAUGGGCCCGCGGCCUAUCAGCUUGUUGGUGGGGUGAUGGCCUACCAAGGCGACGACGGGUAGCCGGCCUGAGAGGGUGACCGGCCACACUGGGACUGAGAUACGGCCCAGACUCCUACGGGAGGCAGCAGUGGGGAAUAUUGCACAAUGGGCGCAAGCCUGAUGCAGCGACGCCGCGUGAGGGAUGACGGCCUUCGGGUUGUAAACCUCUUUCAAUAGGGACGAAGCGUAAGUGACGGUACCUAUAGGAGAAGGACCGGCCAACUACGUGCCAGCCGCCGCAGUAACAC